rnacentral:rRNA from 1 species
UACGAAGGGGGCUAGCGUUGUUCGGAGUUACUGGGCGUAAAGGGCGCGUAGGCGGCGCACCAAGUCAGGCGUGAAAUUCCCGGGCUCAACCUGGGGGGCUGCGCUUGAUACAUGUGCGCUUGAGUUCGGAAGAGGGUCGUGGAAUUCCCAGUGUAGAGGUGAAAUUCGUAGAUAUUGGGAAGAACACCGGUGGCGAAGGCGGCGACCUGGUCCGAUACUGACGGCUGAGGCGCGAAAGCGUGGGGAGCAAACAGG